rnacentral:rRNA from 1 species
UACGGAGGGCGCGAGCGUUAAUCGGAAUUACUGGGCGUAAAGCGCGCGUAGGCUGUUGUGUAAGUUGGGGGUGAAAUCCCACGGCUCAACCGUGGAACAGCCCUUGAUACUGCGCGACUUGAAUCCGGGAGAGGGUGGCGGAAUUCCAGGUGUAGGAGUGAAAUCCGUAGAUAUCUGGAGGAACAUCAGUGGCAAAGGCGGCCACCUGGACCGGUAUUGACGCUGAGGCGCGAAAGCGUGGGGAGCAAACAGG